UUCACUUUUUAAUUCUUCUUGGUGCAAGCAACGCAGAUUAGUUUUUUCAUCGCUACCUACAAGUGUCCUCUGAAGAAAGAGGAUUCGGUUCUACAGCAAUGGCUGCAUUUGUUUGCAUCAUUAGGUGAUCGUGCAAAGAGCUGGGAUAACGUGGCUGUGUUAGUUGACGAAACUAUUAAACCACAAG